rnacentral:rRNA from 1 species
CCUACGGGAGGCAGCAGUAAGGAAUAUUGGACAAUGCUCGCAAGAGUGAUCCAGCCAUGCCGCGUGCAGGAAGAAUGCCCUAUGGGUAGUAAACUGCUUUUGAACUAGAGAAAACCCCAGUACGUGUACUGGGCUGAUAGUAUAGUUAGAAUAAGCAUCGGCUAACUUCGUGCCAGCAGCCGCGGUAAGACGAAGGAUGCAAGCGUUAUCCGGAUUCAUUGGGUUUAAAGGGAGCGUAGGUGGACUGAUAAGUCAGUGGUGAAAUCUCCGAGCUUAACUCGGAAAUUGCCAUUGAUACUGUUGGUCUUGAGUACAGUUGCUGUGGGCGGAAUAUGACAUGUAGUGGUGAAAUACAUAGAGAUGUCAUAGAACACCGAUUGCGAAGGCAGCUCACAAAGCUGUAACUGACACUGAGGCUCGAAAGUGCGGGGAUCAAACAGGAUUAGAUACCCUGGUAGUCCGCACCGUAAACGAUGAUUACUCGCUGCUAGGGGGCAACCUUUAGUGGCUUAGCGAAAGCGAUAAGUAAUCCACCUGGGGAGUACGCCGGCAACGGUGAAACGUUAAGGAAUUGACGGCGNGAGAGNGCGACGGACGACGACGAGGGAGGUAGG